rnacentral:rRNA from 1 species
AGCGAACGCUGGCGGCAGGCCUAACACAUGCAAGUCGAACGCACCUUCGGGUGAGUGGCGGACGGGUGAGUAACACGUGGGAACGUACCUUUUGGUUCGGAACAACACAGGGAAACUUGUGCUAAUACCGGAUGAGCCCUAUGGGGGAAGAUUUAUCGCCGAAAGAGCGGCCCGCGUUAGAUUAGCUAGUUGGUGGGGUAAAGGCCCACCAAGGCUCCGAUCUAUAGCUGGUCUGAGAGGAGAUCAGCCACACUGGACUGAGACACGGCCCAGACUCCUACGGGAGGCAGCAGUGGGGAAUCUUGCGCAAUGGGCGAAAGCCUGACGCAGCCAUGCCGCGUGAAUGAUGAAGGUCUUAGGAUUGUAAAAUUCUUUUAGUCAGGGACGAUAAUGACGGUAACCGGAGAAGAAA